rnacentral:lncRNA from 1 species
UCUGUUACAUAGGCAAGGAGACACAUUUUAUUUUCAUUACACAGAAAGUCAACAUCCAUUGAGAGUUUCUCUCUUAAUUCCAAAAAUAUUUUCAACACUCCCCCUCGAUAACCACCAAGCCUCAGUGUGAAAUAGAACAUUAUCAUCCUCUGAUCGCAUAUCUCAACAUACAGUAGUUUUGCCAACAGGCGUGUGCAACGUAGUUUACAAUCGAAGUUACCUGCUGCAUAUCUCUGAGUUCUGCGCUCAGCUUUUUUUGCCGCCAGUUGCUCUCGGUGUAUCCAUUAUAGCUCAGUGGGUGUAUCAUAUAAUGUGUCCAUAUGGCAGAGGGAGACGUAUUCGUAAUUAGAGUGCAGAGGCCUGCCCGCCGUACCCGUGAUAGAAUAAGCCCCAUCUGUGCAAAAGCCCACCAUUCGAUCCCGUGGAAUCUGUUUUUCGUCAAUAUAGCCACGCAGCACACUGAACAUCCCCUGUGCUGUUUCAUGCUCGGGAAUCGUGAGACAGAAAAUGAUGUCCCACUGAAUUAUAUCCCCCGACAUACAGCGAACAAAGGUCAAUGCAUCCCAGCCCUCACAGCUAACGUCCAUUUGGAGAGCAUAAGGUGUGCAGCUGUCUCAUGUCCUGAGAUCUCCACCUGUUGCUGCUGUGGGGAUCCAGCUGAUCUCAGCUCCUGACCCGCAGUCCUUUCCUGUCACUGAUGUGGGGUUCUGGCUGUCUGCUGUCCUGAGAUCUCCUGCCAACGCUGCUUUGGAGAUCCAACCGAUCUCAACUCCUGUCCCGGGGGCCUCUCCUGUCGCUGAUGGGGCGACCUCCCUAUCUGCAGUCCGGACGCCCUAGAAGAGCUCUGCUGUUGCGGACCUGCAGUCUCUAGUCCUGAGACCUUCGUCGAGACCUGCGACGUCGCAAUCUGCAGUCCCGGGAAGCCAAGUAGACAGUUUGACAAUGACCCAACACCUCCAGGCUGUGUAAGGG